rnacentral:lncRNA from 1 species
GUUGCUGUGGCUCUGGCAUAGGCUGGUGGCUACAGCUCCGAUUAGACCCCUGGCCUGGGAAUCUCCAUAUUGCUACUGGAGUGGCCCAAGAAAUGGCAAAAAGACAAAAAUAAAUAAAUAAAAAAUAAAAUAAAAUCAGGAGGUUGUUGUGGAUUAUCCAGGUGGUCAGUGUAACAGAGGGUUCUUUUUUUUUUUUUAAGUUUUCUUGAAUUAUAAUUGAUUAAAAAUGCUAUGAUAAUUUCACAGGGUUCUUUCUUUUUGGCCACACCCGAGGCAUGCAGAAGUUCCAGGGCCAGGGAUCAAACCUGUGUCACAGGAGUUGACCUGUCGUGGCUCAGCAGUAACAAACCAGACUAGGACCCAUGAGGACGUGGGUUCGAUCCUUGGCCUCACUCAGUGGGUUAAGGAUCCUUCCAGCAUUGCUGUGCGCUGCAAUGUAGGUGGCAGAUGAGACUCAGAUCCCGCAUUGCUGUGGCUGUGGCCUAGGCUGGCAGCUGCAGCUCCAGUUUGACCCCUAGCCUAUAUGCUGCAGGUGCAGCCCUAAAAAGCAAACAAACAAACUGAACCUGCUGCACCACCAGGGAACUCCUCAGAGGGCUCUUAUAAGAGGGAGACAGAAGGGUCAUGGUCAGAGCAGGAGACAUGAUGACAGAAGAAGAUGGAGUGUUGUGGCCACAAGCCAAGGAAUGCAGGCAGCCUUUAGAAAAGGGAAAGGCAAGGAACAGAUCCUCCGGAAGAAAUGCAUCUCUGCCGACUCCUUCGUCACAGCCCUGUGAGGCCCAUUUUAGACAUCUGACUUCCAGAACUGUAGAAUAAUAAGUUUGUAUUGUCUUAAGUGCACUAAGUUUGUGAUCAUUUGUUACAGCAGCCUUUGGAGAUUACUACAGGAGCUAAGCUUAGUGGAAAGGAUGUGACAGAGGGUGUGAACCCAAAAAAGAAAACAGCCAUGUGGGAGCAGCUCAGUCAGAUCCAAAGACUUUUGCAGCCGAGUCACCCUGAGCAAAAUCAGUUGACAAUACGAUCAUAUAGCUCACUGUGGGCUGCCUAUAGCCCCCUAAGCAGUGAGUGCCUCUAAUAAACUUGGGGGGAGAAGCCCCGGGAGAGCACACUGUAAAAGAGCCUGUCUGACCUGGGUUCAAGUUCUCUGCCACCUAUAACUGGAUGGUCUUAAGCAAGUUAUGCCACCUCUCUCAGCCACAGUUUUCUUAGGAGACACCCACAGCCUAAGCCAGGGAUCAAAUCCACACCACAGCAGUGACUUGAGCCCCUGCAGUGACAAUGCUGGAUCCUGAACUGGAUGUGCCACAUGGGAACUCCUCAGCCACAGUUUUCUUACCUGCAAAGAGAGGAUAAGUCUGUCUCUUAAUUAGAAGGGUGGUUAUGAGGAUUACAGAAGAUAACACAUGUAAUGUGCUUAACAUAAUGCCUUUCACCUCGUAAACAUAACUGCUUUCUAUUACUACAAAUAUAUGUACAAACUUGCUUAUAACAAGGUAUCCUAUACUCCUCACUGACUAGGUCAUAUGUAGAGUCUGUGGUGAGUUCUGGGAAUAAAACUCAGGGAAGAUCAUCCAGGAUGGUUAAAUAGACCUCAACCUCAUGGUUCCUAGUCGGAUUCGUUAACCACUGUGCCACAACGGGAACUCCAAAAAAAAAAUUUUUUUUUUUAAAGGGAGUUACAGAGCUCCUGUUAUGGCUCAGCAUGUUAAGAACCUGACUAGUGGUCCAUCCCUGGCCUGGCUCAGUGGAUUAAGGAUCUGGCAUUCCCGCAAGCUGAGGAUAGGUUGCAGAUGUGGCUCAAAUCUGGUGUGGCUGUCUAUGGCUGUGGUGCUGGCCUGCAGCUGCAGCUCCAAUUUGACCCCUAGCCUGAGAACUUCCAUAUGCCAUGGGUGUAGCCCUAAAAAAAAAAAAGAGUUCCCUAGUGGCCUCAUUGUUUCAGGAUCUGCUAUUUUCACUGCCAUGGCUCAGGUGGCUGCUGUGGCAUGGGUUUGAUCCCUGGCCUGGGA